rnacentral:rRNA from 1 species
GUGUCAGCAGCCGCGGUAAUACGAGAGGCCCAAACGUUAUUCGGAUUUACUGGGCUUAAAGAGUUCGUAGGCGGCGCAGAAAGUAGGGUGUGAAAGCCCUCGGCUCAACCGAGGAAUUGCGCUCUAAACUACUGUGCUCGAGGAACCUAGAGGUGAGCAGAACUGAUGGUGGAGCGGUGAAAUGCGUUGAUAUCAUCAGGAAUACCGGAGGCGAAGGCGGCUCACUGGGGGUUUUCUGACGCUGAGGAACGAAAGCCAGGGGAGCGAACGGGAUUAGAUACCCCCGUAGUCC